CUCCCCACGACCUCCAAACUCUCUGCUCCCCUUCCCAGACAACCACCUCCCCACGCCCCGCCCCACUUCCCUCCCCACCUUCUCCGGCUGCGCCGCCCACCACCUCCUCUGGCCGCGCCGCCCACCACCUCCUCCGGCCGCGCCCAACGACACCACCUUCUACGCCGGCUGCCACCCUCUUCUUUCUCCCGCGCCAUAAGCAGUCAUGGCGGGCCGCGGGAUCCGGCCGCCCUCGGCCCCCGGCGCGGCCUCAGCCAUCGGAUACGGCCGCCACGACCAUUGGCGCGGCAACAAACCACGGAUCCGGCCGCCACCGACCCCUCGGCGUGGAAGCCGUCCGCUCGCGCAGCCUGGCGCCUGAUCCGGCGAGGUCCACACCGGUGCCUCUAUACCGCGCCGCCGAGGCCCGGGUUGUCCUCUCCCUCUCCGGCAGGGAGGCCCCGUCGAGCAACUCCCACGCUUGCCACCGAGAGGAGGCCGGCCAGGAGGCAGGCGCUAGCGGCCCCCCUGCUGCCCGCGGCAGAUCCGACGAGCCAACCCACAUCCUCAUCUCCCUCGCGGCGGAUCCGACGAGCUCUAUCACCACGCGCCGGCGGGCGGACCCCCUCCCUCCUCCACUCACGGCGUCGUGCGCAGGCGGCGGCACCACCGUUUCUCCCAGCCAUCCUCCCCCAAGCCACGUCUGGAUGGAUAUGGUCCGCCCACCGCCGGAUUUGGCCACGCCUUCAACCACCGCGACGUGAUGGGGUGUAGGAUCCAGGGAGGUUUCGGGGGUCAAGAAGCCACCGACCUCGCCGAAAAUCGCCCUUCCCUCCUCCCGGCCAAUCUCCUCCACCGGAUGCCUCGCGUGCUGCCACGCCAGGCGCCGGAUCCAUCGGCCAUUCAUGCACCAGGGAUGAGCUCGGCACGCGACUACUGGGAGAAACUGCAUGGAGGAAGGCUCGCUCCUGGGAGAAACUGGGUGCACUAUGGUCCUGGAGCAGAUCGUUGUUUUGGUGUUUUUCUUAUCAAGUGUAAAUGUAGCCCACUAUUGUUUGCUCAUCAGGUUCAAUUUACUUGUUCUUGUAGGAAGAAAGUGGUAGAGUGCGGUUUGAUGCAGCAUUGCAUUUUUUCUGUUUCCCUGAGCAUACAGUUUGGACAGCGAGCCUCCCUCCAUGAAGUCCGCUGGCACAUCCAUGCAGUACAACGCGUGUGUGUAUACGGUUCGCGACGCGUGUGUUGCCGGUGGCUGUUGUGAAGUUGAUUGUUUUUUCA